UGCACUCUUAGCUCAGCUGGUAGAGCAAUUGACUCUUAAUCAAUGGGUCCAGGGUUCGAGUCCCUGAGGGUGUACAAA
rnacentral:tRNA from 3 species